AGUUAACAGAGAUAUGACAUGAACAUAUAUUAGAAAAAUGAUCCACACACAACAGAAAAAUUGAGUAAGACCAGGAUUGGGUGUCUUUGGAGAAUGUAAUUUUGACUUGAAUAUGGUGAUGCUUGUAGAACAGUGUUCCUUCCUCUGAACAUGGCUACAGAAGAACAAAUCAGUUAGUCUGAAGAUGAAAACAAGAAGCUGUUGGAAGACACAUUCUGAACUGGCUAGCACAACACUCUGAAACUGGAGGAUAUCAACUGAUAAGAUAUUAAGUUCUCCCUUAGUUUCAAAUACACUGGGUUCAUAAAUUAUUAACAUAAACAAUGGAUGUUCCAUCAAGUUACCGUGAAGACAGCUGGGUCUGCACACCUCCACAAGUGUCGACCCCUCCAAGCACAUCCUCCACCUGGAACUGUGAACUGAAUGGAUAUAUGUUGGUCAGAAAGGUCUUUACAUCUUUGAAUUGUAAUGAUCAUGAUUAGUUGCUGAGUUUGCCACCUCCCUACCUCCCUGCCUUCUACCUUCCAAGAAUUAUC